GACGAACGCUGGCGGCGUGCUUAACACAUGCAAGUCGAGCGGAGCGGCGAACGGGUGAGUAACGCGUGAGUAACUGCCCCCCUCUCUGGGAUAACAGUUGGAAACGGCUGCUAAUACCGGAUAGUGGGGGAUGACUCGCGCCCUAUCAGCUUGUUGGUGGGGUAAUGGCCUACCAAGGCGACGACGGGUAGCCGGCCUGAGAGUGCGACCGGCCACAGUGGGCUGGGUUACCGCCCAAAUUCCUACGGGAGGCAGCAGUGGGGCAUAGUGCACAAUGGGGGAACCCCUGAUGCAGCAACGCCGCGGUCGGGAUGACGGCCUUCGGUUUGUAAACCGCUUUCAGCAAUGACGCGGUAGUGGCAGAAGAAGCACCGGCUAACUACGUGCCAGCAGCCGCGGUAAUAC
rnacentral:rRNA from 1 species